rnacentral:rRNA from 1 species
AUGAACGCUAGCUACAGGCUUAACACAUGCAAGUCGAGGGGCAGCAUCAUCAAAGCUUGCUUUGAUGGAUGGCGACCGGCGCACGGGUGAGUAACACGUAUCCAACCUGCCGACAACUCUGGGAUAGCCUUUCGAAAGAAAGAUUAAUACCGGAUGGUAUAAUUAUUCCGCAUGGGAUUAUUAUUAAAGAAUUUCGGUUGUCGAUGGGGAUGCGUUCCAUUAGGCAGUUGGCGGGGUAACGGCCCACCAAACCUACGAUGGAUAGGGGUUCUGAGAGGAAGGUCCCCCACAUUGGAACUGAGACACGGUCCAAACUCCUACGGGAGGCAGCAGUGAGGAAUAUUGGUCAAUGGACGAGAGUCUGAACCAGCCAAGUAGCGUGAAGGAUGACUGCCCUAUGGGUUGUAAACUUCUUUUAUACGGGAAUAAAGUGAGCCACGUGUGGCUUUUUGUAUGUACCGUAUGAAUAAGGAUCGGCUAACUCCGUGCCAGCAGCCGCGGUAAUACGGAGGAUCCGAGCGUUAUCCGGAUUUAUUGGGUUUAAAGGGAGCGUAGGCGGGUUGUUAAGUCAGUUGUGAAAGUUUGCGGCUCAACCGUAAAAUUGCAGUUGAUACUGGCGACCUUGAGUGCAACAGAGGUAGGCGGAAUUCGUGGUGUAGCGGUGAAAUGCUUAGAUAUCACGAAGAACUCCGAUUGCGAAGGCAGCUUACUGGAUUGUAACUGACGCUGAUGCUCGAAAGUGUGGGUAUCAAACAGGAUUAGAUACCCUGGUAGUCCACACAGUAAACGAUGAAUACUCGCUGUUGGCGAUAUACAGUCAGCGGCCAAGCGAAAGCAUUAAGUAUUCCACCUGGGGAGUACGCCGGCAACGGUGAAACUCAAAGGAAUUGACGGGGGCCCGCACAAGCGGUGGAGCAUGUGGUUUAAUUCGAAGCAACGCGAAGAACCUUACCAAGACUUGACAUAUACGGGAAUACUUAAGAAAUUAAGUAGUCUUUCGGGACUCGUAUACAGGUGAUGCAUGGUUGUCGUCAGCUCGUGCCGUGAGGUGUCGGCUUAAGUGCCAUAACGAGCGCAACCCUUACGGGUAGUUACCAUCAGGUUAUGCUGGGGACUCUACCCGGACUGCCGUCGUAAGAUGUGAGGAAGGUGGGGAUGACGUCAAAUCAGCACGGCCCUUACGUCCGGGGCUACACACGUGUUACAAUGGGGGGUACAGAAGGCAGCUACACGGCGACGUGGUGCUAAUCCCAAAAGCCUCUCUCAGUUCGGAUUGGAGUCUGCAACCCGACUCCAUGAAGCUGGAUUCGCUAGUAAUCGCGCAUCAGCCACGGCGCGGUGAAUACGUUCCCGGGCCUUGUACACACCGCCCGUCAAGCCAUGAAAGCCGGGGGUACCUGAAGUACGUAACCGCGAGGAGCGUCCUAGGGUAAAACUGGUGAUUGGGGCU